CUAAAAUGAAUUUACAUGCUUUUUAAUCACUUUCAUAUCGAAGACGCGUUAAAAUAUAGUUAUUGAGUGUUUUAUAAAAAAAAACAAAUGCAGUUUACCAGGUUAAUGUUCUUUACAUUAUUAUUAUUAACGUGGUGUUUAAUAACAUCAAAGAAACUUCAAAGUUGAUAAAACAAUCAGAAACAGGAGACAUAUAUCAUCUGCUUUGUCAAAAAUAUUUACCUAACGCUUUAAUUCAAACGAAUAAUUAUGGAAAAUAAAGAUAAAUCUGUCAAUGUACCGUAUCAGGGAUUGAAAGACAAAAAUGCAAGUAUAAAGCAUGUGUAUGUGCUCCGAUGGUAUGUGAUUGCAGUAGUAUCGCUUGCGAAUAUCUUGAAUGUCUUCCUAUGGGCUACAUGGGGCCCAAUUUCACAGUCAGCAUACCUCGUCUAUUCAUGAACAGAUAAUCAAUUGUUUUGGAUUGUAAACAUAGGAAAUAUAACAGCAUUUCUUUCCGUUUUCUUUGGCGUGUAUCUUGUUGAUUGCAAAGAUUAAUCGCCAUUGGUCAAGGUUUAAAUGGUAUAGCAAACAGCAUAACAGUGUGUACUCCAACAGUUGUUUCUCAAACUUGGUUCCGGGCUACAGAAAGGACCACAGCCACAGCCGUAUCAACUCUCGCGUUUGCUUUAGGUGCAGCCGCAGCUUUCUUGUUUGGUCCAUUGACAGUUUCGAUGCCUAAAGUGUAUGUUUUUUUCUUUGUCGAGUGCGUCUGCGCAUACAUGCGCGCUAACCGCUGAUACAAUGGUAUAUUCAAGCCCUCAGUGUAUAACUUUAUAAUUGUAAUAUAUUGCAACUACAUACAUAUACCAAAUAAUAAUUAUUUUUGUAGAUAACAUGGCAUUUAAUCAUGUUAUAAUUAAUUAAUUUGAGUAAAACUCGGACUCAUUAUUGUUAAUUUUUCUGGUCCUUUUGGAUCAUGCAGUUUUGUUCUUGUUUUUUAUUUGUUGGGUUUAACGUCGCACCAACACAAAUAUAGGUCAUAUGGCGACUUUCCAGCUUUGAUGAUGGAGGAAGACCACAGGUGCCAUUCCGUGCAUUAUUUCAUCACGAGCGGGCACCUGGGUAGAAACACCGACCUUCCGUAAGUCAGCUGGAUGGUUUCCUCACAUGAAGAAUUCAACGCCUCGAGUGAGGCUCGAACCCACAUCGAUGAGGGGCAAGUGAUUUCAAGUCAGCGACCUUAACCACUCUGCCACGGAGGCCCCCCCGGAUCGUGCAGUAUUUCUAAUUAAUGCGUGUGAUACAGUUCCGCUUAAGCUGGUGCUAGGGGGCAUGUGGGGUAAUGCACAAUUCAUUAGACUUAAUCAAACUGACCUUUUGUUAUACUCAUCUGACCGGUUGGUCGGCCAGUCGUGCGUUGUUGCCAUUUGUAGCGCGAACUGCUUCCUCAGUUUUAAAGGGAUUCCAAUGAAAUGCCAUACGUAUGAUAACCAUGAAGUGUAAAUGUACGAGACAU